rnacentral:lncRNA from 1 species
CCAUAUCACAUUUGGCACUUGUUUAAGAUUGUUUAUAUCCAAAGUCUGCAAACUCCUUAGGUUGCCUAUAAAUGGUGGAAGCAUUUUUAGACCAGUAUGCCUUAAUCCCAGGUACCUUAAAUGAAUUAAUUUCCCAAUUAUAGUUGGCAGGCAUUCAAUUUCUAAACCUUCCAAAUCCAACACUCUAAGCACUUUGAAGCAUUUGGCAAUGAAAUCUAGUUGCGAUGCUUUACAAUUUUUCCCCAAAUUGAAAAAUAAGAGAGAGCAAAGAUAUGGAGUUAAAUUUUCAAUGGAAGCAUACCUCUCAAUGUCAGAAUAAAUACUUCGUCAACGGGAUUUAGAUGAAAAGAGAGAUAAACUUAUGGGAUUUAGAUCCAAAGAAAGAUAAACUGGUGGAGGAGAAUAGAGGAUCUAUGAUGAAGUUUUGCUCUUUUGCCUUUUUAAUGGCCAACUCUCAUACAAGGUCAUGAACCUGACAUUCCGUGACCCUUGCAUUAACACUCUUUCUCACUACUUGAAUCAAAUUUCUAUUGAUUAACUCAUUCAAGUAAACCUCAGCCAUGUCUUUCAUUCUUCGGUCAUCUUGUUAUGGCACAAAACCCUCAACAGUCCAUAAAAAGAGCAGUUUUCUGGAGGAGAUCACAUAAUCUUCAGGGAAGAGGCUUAAAUGAAGAAAGCACGGUUUCAAGUAAUGGGGCAAGUCGAUGUAGCUGAGGUUUAGCAUUGCCAUUACUCCCAUUUGGCCUUCUUUAGCAAGGUAUGCACUAAUGUUAUCGUGCACCUACUUCCAUUCUGUAUGUGACAUAUUUCUUUACAGCAAACCCCCCAAUACAACGAUGGACAAGCAGAGCUCUCUGUUCAGUGAAUGGAGUUCAUGUUCUGGAUAGAAUGGGCAAUUCACUUUUUUGAAGAGAUAAAUUCACUUUUUUACAUUGAAAAGUUUUAUACUAAACUCAUUUUCCAAAGGUUAAGUCCACUUCUUUACCGGUGAACUUGUAUUUUUCAUUUUUAUACUAAUUACUUUUUUUAGAAGACAAAUUCUAUUAAUGGAUUGAUUUUUUUAAAAAUAAUAUCACCCUGCAAAAAGCCCAAACCUACCACUUUCAAACCAAUAACAAUAACACUUUUGCAUGCCAAGCAAAGCCUUCAAAUACAUCAUCCUAAUUGUCACUUAAUACACAUAUAAUUGUACAAACAAACAUCUAAUAAUUUGAUUCAACAAACUUAUAAGCACAUUGGUUUUAGUUUAGAUACAAUAUAAAUAUGUUCAACCUUGGUAUGACCAUCACUGAAAGUAGACAUUGCUAACUAUAAUACAUGAGAUUUUAAUAGCAUGGCAUUAUGUUUCCUUUCAAUCACUCCAUUAUGGAAUCAAGCAUGAGGUAGAAGCCCCUGGCAAAUCUACGGCAGUAUAAUCUUUCGGUCAUCGAAUCUGUUUGCAAAGAUCAAACAUACAUUAUAAACAAUGACAAUAGACAAAAAAAAAAAAAAAAAAUAGCCAAAAAGUUUUAACCUUUCACUUGUCAUACAUGUAAUUUCGGUCAAGAAGACUUCUUAGAAUGUUGAGAAAGUUGGCUAAUAUUUCAACUGCUUUCCUAGAGCUUUCUGCUGUUUGACUUGUUGCAACACAAAUCUGAGUAUCACAUGGCCAACUUUUAGGUACCUAAACUAAACAUGCAUAUAUGUACAAAGUUGUAGCAAGGAUCUCAGCAUUAGUUCAUAUAUAAUGAAAAAAAUUUCACCAGACUGGCAAUUUCAUUUUUCAAUUGGUUUAUGCGUUUAGAGUAAAAUCAUAAGAAGUAAUAUAGAUUUGUUAAGAAACUGAAAACUAUAGAAGUAAUUGAUUUCUCUUCAAUAAAAGCUGAAGUUAUUUAAUUUGACAAAAAAAAAAACUUGUUUUGUUGAAUCUAAUAAUAGGUUCUGAAGUGGGAUUCAUUAGCUAAAUAGAAAUUUCAGUGAAAAGAUCUUGGCUUCUCUCUGGCGUCACUAAUUGUUAUGCAGAAGAAUAAGGAAUAAUACUUGGCCAUGAAUUACUAGGCUGGCUUGGUAGAAAUCACAUUCAAGUAAAGGAACAAAACAUGCAUUUAUACACCCCAACAAUAAUCCAGGGUAAAAGUGAAUUCCAAACUUCCAGGCAUACCUUUUUCGCGGUAAAAUUGACCUCCAAUCUCACCAUUUAUAAAGAUUCUGAAAUGAAUAGAAAAAUCAAACAAAGCAUGUUAGCGGAAUAAAAAGAACAAUAAAAAAAUUUAAAAAAAAAAUCAUCCUUACAAUGUUGAAGAGAGAUAAUUUGAGUUGUUUUAACUUUCCACUGUAUAUUUAAAAUUAAAGUUCUAGUUUGUUCAAAAGCAAUGGAGUUGGGUAACCAUUUAAUGGUACUGCUAUUAUCCUAGUAUGAAUUGAAUAUAUAUAGAAAAAUAUUUGCAUCUGUUUUAUUUUUUUUUCAAAUAUAUAAUUGUUCUGCACAUGCAUUUAAAACCUAUCAAAUGUGCAAAAGUGAUGAAAUUGAAAAACAUGUGAGAAAUAGCGAUGCAUAGGGCUCAAUGUGUCUACAAAGAAAGAUGAAGUAUGGUCAUCAGGCCACUAGAUGGAUUUGUUUUAAUAGAAGAAAAGGUUACUUUCCAAAUUUAUAAAAAGAGAAAAUACAGAAUCCUAACAUGUAUUUCAUUUUCAAGUACGCUAUAAAUUAAAUAAAAUAAUAUUAAAAAUAUAGAAAGAGUAAUUAUAUUGGUCUUAUAAGUUAAUUCAAGAAGUGACGAGUAGUAAAAAUUGAUAGUUCAAGGGAUCUAAGUAGAUAGAUGAAUUUAGGUACCUUCUUUGAUGCCAAGGAUGAGGUGCCAAUCUGGCCAGAAGCCAUACAUCAUAAUAGGAAAUGGUUGACCUAUAAUGUUUAGCUCCACUAGCUUUAGAAGCCCAAUAAAUCCUAAGAUAUUCACUCGUUUAUGAAUUUGCAAUUGCUUAAGCCAUGGCAUUGCGCCUUUCCCUAUAUUCAACUCAGUCAAUCCUUGUAACUCUGAAAGUUGAAGUACUUUGAGUUGAGGAAACCCAUUUGCAGACACUUGCAUUUUCAUUCCAAGGUGUGCGUUUGCCCUUAAUCUAAGAAUCAACAAUUUUGGUUGCUUCUCUAAAACAGGCAUAGGAUCACAACCUAGCCUAGAUGCUUCCAAUGUCAAUUGUGUAAGAUUUGGUGAGAAUUCAACGGUUUCAAGCAAUUUUUGCAUGUGUCCCUUUAUGUCCAACUUAGAAAGAUGGAGGCAAGAGUUUAUGGCAAGGGGUGGAAUGCUCAACUCAUCUGAUGCCUUAAGGUACAAGGAUUUAAGACUAGGUAGCUUGGAAAUGGAGUUUGAAAACACAGCCCCUUCUACCUCACACUUUCCUUCUAAUUUCAAUUUCUCAAGACAAGUUAAGUUGCUUGAAUCGUUCUUGAUCCAUUGGUUGAAGGUUAUGCCUGAUAGAAUUUGAAGAUUUUGCAACGUAUGAAUUUGCAGUGGAACAUCUUCCUCUUGCCCCUCCAUGUAAAGAUAUCUCAUGUUCUUAAUCUUCCGUAUCACAUUUGACACUUGUCUAAGAUUGUUUAUCUCCAAAGUCUGAAAACUCCUUAGGUUGCCUAUAGAUGGUGGAAGCAUUUUUAGACCAGUAUGCCUUAAUCCCAAGUACCUUAAAUGAAUCAGUUCCCCAAUCAUACUAGGUAGGCAUUCAAUUUUUAAACCUUCCAAAUCUAACACUCUAAGCACUUUGAAGCAUUUGGCAAUGAAAUCUAGUUGUGAUGCUCUACAAUUUUUCCCCAAAUUGAAAAAUAA